GUCAGUCGGUGACGUUCUGGCUGGGAACGCUCCGAUGCCGCGAACCUCGGCGAUCAAGCGGAAUAGCAGAUCGUGCUUCUGUAUUUAAGGCUGCUAGGCUGAAAGUGCUGCCGAUGCGAAAUUAAAAUGGAGCUGAAGCUGAAGUUAGAAGAAAAGCACAGUGUAUCCGGCGGCUAUUAUUCAGGGUCUUUCAUGAAACUCGUGUCCAAGGAGGCUUCCAAAACCUUCCGUCUACUGCCCUGUCGGUUUCCUGCUUUGUCAUAGUGGCACAGGGAGGAAUUCUCUGAGCUUCGCCCCUCUGCCUUGACAAGGUGCUAAUCUGAGAAAUCCACCAGGGCGUCCAUCAGGACACGCUGGGAAUCCUAUGGUCGAUGCGGGGGAAAGGCAUUGUGACAUCACAGAGCAGGGCAUGACAUCAGACUUGGUCAAGUCACGCCGGCAGCCUCCCCCAGCUCAGACACUUGGAGCAACAGCUCCGUCCCGGUGGUCGCUGCUGGAGCUCUGCUCUGCGUGACAGCCAUUUGUGUGUAGAGAUUGUUCUUUGGGAGAGAUCAGGAUGAAGCUCAGCCUGACUCUCUUCCUGGCCAUGGCUCUGAGCAUGUCUCCAUUUGCGGGACGUGGCCCAGGCUGUCCCAGCUAUCUCAGCUGGGUCUGCAGUUGCGACCAAAAGGUCGUUCCUGAGGAGCAGCAUCGGGUGGCGACCAAGAGCCAGACCUCCACCCGGCGCUGCUGGCUAGGCCUAACCUCCUGUCCCAUCAGGGUUGAGGACAAGAACAACAGUGAGAUCCUUCCUGAAGAGCAACCUGUGGAGGAGACCAAGAGCCAGACCUCCACCUGGCGCUGCUGGUUUGGCUUAACCUCCUGCCCCAUCAGGACCAAGGACACGAACACAAACCAGGUCCUUCCUGAGGAGCAGCAUACGGAGAAAACCAAGAGCCAAUCCUCAUACUGGUCCUGCUUGCUUGGCUCUUCCCAGUGUCCCAUAUGGGUCUGGUACAAGGGCAGCAAAGUUGCUGUUCCACAAGGCCCAAAGCAGCAGUCCCCGGGCACCAAGCAGAAGGCCUACAGCUUGCCUGGCAUCCUGGGCCACCUUUGGGACUACCUUAUGCAAAGCGGGAGAACCUGGCUCCUUACAGCUCCCUUGACAAUUUUCUCCAUUCUCUGGCUGCUGACAACUGCCCGUGCCCACUGGAGAAGAUUAAGAAGACCUCGGGGACAGAGAACGGGACAAGCGGAUCCAGCUUCCUUAGGAACAGAGGAAACGGACAACCUAAAUGCUCUCGACCUGCUCUGCCAAAUGAACGCCUACAUAACCUUAAUGGAGAGACUUAUGACGAUCCUCAUGCAGCACCAUGUGAAAAAUGUCAGGAGCCAGCAGUGCAGGAAGACAGCGCACAGCACGGGGGACAGGAAGAGCCUCUCCACAGACUCCUGAGGGAGCUGGCAGAGGUGACUGCCAAGCCGCUCUCGGCCAUCUACCAGCGCUCCUGAUUAACUGGAGAGGUCAACAAGGCCAAGUGGCUCGUCCUGCACUUCGGCCACAACAACCCCAUGCAGCGCUAUAGGCUUGGGGAUGAGUGGCUGGAGGAAAGUGUCCUGGGGGUGUUGGCUGAUGAAAGACUCAACAUGAGCUGGCACCGUGCACUUGCAGCCCCCAAGGCCAAGCGUUUCCUGUGCUACAUCAAGACAAACGUGAUUAGCAGGUCAGGGGAAGUGAUUCUGCCCCUCUACUCUGCUCUCACAAGACCCCACCUGCCGCACUGCAUCCACUUCUGGGGCCCCCAGCACAAGAAAGACAGUGGAGUGGGUCCACUGAUGCUGAGCACCAUGCCUCCAAGUGGCUGUGCUGACCGGGCCUUUCUCAAUGCCCCAUUCGGCUCUGGAACAAGGUCAGCAAGGCUGUUCUUCCAGAUGGCCCAAAAUCCCACAGGCACAAAGUGGAAGGCCUUCAGCUUUGCAAAAUCCCCACUGUGGCGGAGAGAGUUGGAGAGGGACAACAACAGUGACAGCUCAUCAGGCGGAUGCAGUCCUGCACCGGGUCUUCAUGGGGGGUCCCAUGAACAUAUCAAGGCAGAGUUGCUGUUGCGACACAAUGCAACCCCCUGAAAAGGAUGAAUGUUCACAGCAAAAAAGACUUAGCCUUCAUCCAACAACCAUCAGAGACCCCCACCACAUCUUUAGGACACGUGCUUAAGAAGGUGGUACAACAUGUCAGUAAUUUCUCAAAAUUCCAGCCCAUUUUCUUGGAAUGUAACAAAUAUGUCUAUGUUAUGUCUUUAAAUAUGUAACCACGUCUGUUCUUGGUGUGUGCGAGUAAGGAAUUAUCCCCCUCACACACGGUGCCACAAUAAAUAUACCUACUUUAAAAUC
ensembl:lncRNA